rnacentral:rRNA from 1 species
ACAGCUCAAAUUUGAAAUCUGGCCCCUAGGGUCCGAGUUGUAAUUUGUAGAGGAUGCUUUUGGUGAGGUGCCGCCCGAGUUCCCUGGAACGGGACGCCGCAGAGGGUGAGAGCCCCGUCUGGCUGGCCACCGAGCCUCUGUAAAGCUCCUUCGACGAGUCGAGUAGUUUGGGAAUGCUGCUCAAAAUGGGAGGUAUAUGUCUUCUAAAGCUAAAUAUUGGCCAGAGACCGAUAGCGCACAAGUAGAGUGAUCGAAAGAUGAAAAGCACCUUGAAAAGAGGGUUAAACAGUACGUGAAAUUGUUGAAAGGGAAGCGCUUGUGACCAGACUUGGGCGCGGCGAAUCAUCCGGGGUUCUCUCCGGUGCACUUCGCCGCGUUCAGGCCAGCAUCAGUUCGGCGCGGGGGAAAAAGGCUUCGGGAACGUGGCUGCUCCGGCAGUGUUAUAGCCCGUUGCAUAAUACCCUGCGCUGGACUGAGGACCGCGCAUCUGCAAGGAUGCUGGCGUAAUGGUCACCAGCGACCCGUCUUG